UACGAAGGGUGCAAGCGUUACUCGGAAUUACUGGGCGUAAAGCGUGCGUAGGUGGUUUGUUAAGUCUGUUGUGAAAGCCCCGGGCUCAACCUGGGAAUGGCAAUGGAUACUGGCAGGCUAGAGUGCGGUAGAGGGUAGUGGAAUUCCCGGUGUAGCGGUGAAAUGCGUAGAGAUCGGGAGGAACACCAGUGGCGAAGGCGGCUAC
rnacentral:rRNA from 1 species